rnacentral:rRNA from 1 species
AACGAACGCUGGCGGCGUGCCUAACACAUGCAAGUCGAGCGCGAAUGGGGAAACCCUAGUAGAGCGGCGCACGGGUGCGUAACACGUGGAUAAUCUGCCUGGAUGCCUGGGAUAACCAGUCGAAAGAUUGGCUAAUACCGGAUAAGCCCACGGUUUCUUCGGAGACUGAGGGAAAAGGUGGCCUCUGUAUACAAGCUAUCACAACCAGAUGAGUCCGCGGCCCAUCAGCUAGUUGGCGGGGUAAUGGCCCACCAAGGCAACGACGGGUAGCUGGUCUGAGAGGACGAUCAGCCACACUGGCACUGAAACACGGGCCAGACACCUACGGGUGGCAG